UGGUUAUGGCAUGGCAGGGACCUAGAUGUAGCUAAACAUCUGUGUAAGCUUGGGGAGAGAGUCAAGUUCCCUGGGCAGAAAAGGACUGGGUUUUACAGCUGCCUUCCUGGGAGACCUUGCAUUGGAUGAGGAAGGCCUCUGGACGUUUCAGGUGGAUGGCAUCACGGACAUUGUAUGCCACACCAUCUUCAGGGCGGCCGCCAACGCUUCAGGUGCUGUUCCUAUACGGGCUGCAGGGGAGUGGGUCCUCAGGCCAACUCGAUCAGCAGUGUGACACAUUUGGCAUGGUAGUUCAUGAGCUGGGAUUUGUCAUUGGCCUUCUGGCCUGAGUACACCAGCCUGUACCUGGACAACCACAUGGCUGCCAUCCAGGAGAAUAUACCAGGGAGAUUAUCUUUGAUACCAUCCUGCCCAAAUAUGAAGUGAACGGGUUGUACCCCUCCAUCAGCUAUUGUGCUUGUCUGAGCAAAAGUGAUACGAGUCCCAAGCCCAAAUCUUCUGAAACCUGGGACCAAGACCCCCAGUAACAACGACAUUCACUCGUGGGAAUGAGAGGCUCAUUGUGUCAUCCCUGAGCUGUGGCACUGCUUUCCCAUGGCUAUAUAAAAUGAGAACUCCCCAGCCCAGGAGCUCUAGCAGCAGAAGCCCUGUUCACCCAGAAAGCCAAGAAGGGUGUCUGUGGUGCAAGCUGUUGCCAGCUUCCCCCUGCUCCCAUAGCAGCCAGGGCAUGAUCAAUCCCGGAUGACUUUCCUAAAUGCAGGUCCUGCCAAGCCCUUAGCAGCUUUGCAGGAUUGCUUCAGGGUGGGAAGUGUCAAUGUAUAGCACAGGCCCGUGGAGAACAGAGACCCAUCACGGACCAGUGUUGGAGACAAAUAUACACACCAGCCCAGGGGAGGGAGCUGCCACCCAGGUCUCCAGGUUGCUCGUUACCGCCAGGACCAGAUUUGAACAUUGGUGGAACUCCAACAAUCAGCAAGGUGAAUCCUGAUUUUCCUCUGGCUUAGCCUGCGAUCGGAGCCCAGCACUGUGAGCCGAAAGGUGGUAGAGCAACGAGUCAAGGGGUCUGGGUUGUAUUUCUGCUUCUGUUGCUGACUGGCUGGUUCCU